rnacentral:piRNA from 1 species
UCCAAGGGCCUGAGAGGGCUUCUACAUGCA